rfam:Canis lupus familiaris chromosome 17, whole genome shotgun sequence.
GCCUGGGUGGCUCAGUGGUUGAGCGUCUGCCUUCCACUCAGGUUGUGAUCCUGGAGUCCUGGGAUCAAGUCCCACAUCAGGCU